rnacentral:rRNA from 1 species
UCCUCCGCUUAUUGAUAUGCUUAAGUUCAGCGGGU